rnacentral:misc_RNA from 1 species
UACGGAGAAUCCAAGCGUUAUCCGGAUUUAUUGGGUUUAAAGGGUCCGUAGGCGGGAUAUUAAGUCAGUGGUGAAAGCCUGCAGCUUAACUGUAGCACUGCCAUUGAUACUGGUAUUCUUGAGUAUAGUUGAAGUGGGCGGAAUAUGUCAUGUAGCGGUGAAAUGCAUAGAUAUGACAUAGAACACCUAUUGCGAAGGCAGCUCACUAAGCUAUUACUGACGCUCAGGGACGAAAGCGUGGGUAGCAAACAGG